rnacentral:rRNA from 1 species
GUGGGGAAUUUUGGACAAUGGGCGCAAGCCUGAUCCAGCAAUGCCGCGUGCAGGAAGAAGGCCUUCGGGUUGUAAACUGCUUUUGUACGGAACGAAACGGUCCUGGUUAAUACCUGGGGCUAAUGACGGUACCGUAAGAAUAAGCACCGACUAACUACGUGCCAGCAGCCGCGGUAAUACGUAGGGUGCAAGCGUUAAUCGGAAUUACUGGGCGUAAAGCGUGCGCAGGCGGUUUUGUAAGACAGGCGUGAAAUCCCCGGGCUCAACCUGGGAAUUGCGCUUGUGACUGCAAGGCUGGAGUGCGGCAGAGGGGGAUGGAAUUCCGCGUGUAGCAGUGAAAUGCGUAGAUAUGCGGAGGAACACCGAUGGCGAAGGCAAUCCCCUGGGCCUGCACUGACGCUCAUGCACGAAAGCGUGGGGAGCAAACAGGAUUAGAUACCCCAGUAGUCC